ensembl:scaRNA
GGCCUCUCUCCCAUAGAGCUGUGGGAGGUCCCUUUUCUCCUCAGCUGGGACUAGAGGCCAAGAUCACCCCUUGAGGAUCAUUGUCAGGGUUGCCACUAGCUGGGCAGCCUUGUUUUCCUACCUCAGAUAUUU